AGGGAAAAGGAACACUGAGGCAAAUGCUGUGAAAGUUCCUCCUUCACCACAGCUCUGGGUGAGGAAUGAGGUGCAGGACAAUAGGCAUCGUUACGAACAUCAAGGAGAGAAAAGAAGAACCAAAGGUGCCUCAAUGACUGUUAGCAUGAAUACAUGACGAUGCCCUUACAUGUUUUUCAUAGAGGAGGUGUGUGGGUCAACCUGUGUGAACAUAUGGGAGCCAGCGUUCAAUGCCUCUGAUUCUGCACGACUCUUCCCCAACAUGAACCUUACGAGAUA